UACGGGGGGGGCAAGCGUUGUUCGGAAUUACUGGGCGUAAAGGGCUCGUAGGCGGCCAACUAAGUCAGACGUGAAAUCCCUCGGCUUAACCGGGGAACUGCGUCUGAUACUGGAUGGCUUGAAUCCGGGAGAGGGAUGCGGAAUUCCAGGUGUAGCGGUGAAAUGCGUAGAUAUCUGGAGGAACACCGGUGGCGAAGGCGGCAUCCUGGACCGAGAUUGACGCUGAACAGCGAAAGCUAGGGGAGCAAACGGG
rnacentral:rRNA from 1 species